rnacentral:rRNA from 1 species
GACGAACGCUGGCGGCGUGCCUAAUACAUGCAAGUAGAACGCACAGUUUAUACCGUAGCUUGCUACACCAUAGACUGUGAGUUGCGAACGGGUGAGUAACGCGUAGGUAACCUGCCUGGUAGCGGGGGAUAACUAUUGGAAACGAUAGCUAAUACCGCCUAAUAUUAAUUAUUGCAUGAUAAUUAAUUGAAAGGUGCAAUUGCACCACUACCAGAUGGACCUGCGUUGUAUUAGCUAGUAGGUGAGGUAACGGCUCACCUAGGCGACGAUACAUAGCCGACCUGAGAGGGUGAUCGGCCACACUGGGACUGAGACACGGCCCAGACUCCUACGGGAGGCAGCAGUAGGGAAUCGUCGGCAAUGGACGAAAGUCUGACCGAGCAACGCCGCGUGAGUGAAGAAGGUUGUCGGAUCGUAAAGCUCUGUUGUAAGAGAAGAACGGGUGUGAGAGUGGAAAGUUCACACUGUGACGGUAUCUUACCAGAAAGGGGCGGCUAACUACGUG